rnacentral:rRNA from 1 species
UACGGAGGGUGCAAGCGUUAUCCGGAUUCACUGGGCUUAAAGGGUGCGUAGGCGGGCAGGUAAGUCAGUGGUGAAAUCUCCGAGCUUAACUCGGAAACUGCCGUUGAUACUAUUUGUCUUGAAUAUUGUGGAGGUAAGCGGAAUAUGUCAUGUAGCGGUGAAAUGCUUAGAUAUGACAUAGAACACCAAUUGCGAAGGCAGCUUACUGCACAAUGAUUGACACUGAGGCGCGAAAGCGUGGGGAUCAAACAGG